CGGCCUCAGGUGGUGGAAAGACCAUUCUCUACAUUGCACUGAUUCAAGAAGAAAUCGACACAAGUCCUCUCCCACCAGAUGCACCUGAGUUUGCUAGAAUGCCCGAGGCAAAUUGCCACAAGUGUGGUAAACUAAUGCCUGUACAGCUGCUGCCAGUCCUGUGGGUCUGCAGGUCACAGUACGGAGCCAGACAAGGAUCUCAGCAUUGCUGGAGUGGCAGAGAUGGAAUCUGAUGUAAUGGAUUGUAGAGUGGUACAGGCAUCGUGUCCGAUCUGUCUGAAAAUGUAUCCCAUCGCUAACCUUGAGGUUCAUGCCAGUUUUUGUGAGAG